GGGUGGGCACGACCCCCAGGCCACCCAUGCUGUCUUGACACUGGAGCUGCUGCCCUGGCCUCUGACCGGCUGGCCAGCCUCCGUGGCGCCUCCCCACCAAGCACUGGCUUCCGUGGCCUGAAGAUCCCAGUGCAAAUGAAUCAGAAACACAUGGCUGACUUUUCCCUGGAAUUACACGUGAUUUGACAAAUGGUUAGAAGUCUCUGGCAAAAUACAUUUGGGAUUAUUUUAUUGUCUAAAAGUUUGAAAAAUAAGUUUGAGAUGUUCCAAAAGUCUGAACACGGCUUUCCUUACUCAUCAUGCUGUUGAACAAGGAGUAAAUAACUGCCGGUGUGACACCCCAGAGAAGCCCUUCCUGAUGCAGUCGACGGGGGUGAGAACGUCGCGGGAAAUAUUCCCUCACUAACCCCCACUUUGGGCUACACAGCGGCCUUGGAGAGGACCACACUCUACAGGAAAAACAUCAGGCUUGCAAAGAUGUUUACAAUAGCAGAGGCAUGGAGUUGGUAGAAGAGAAAGAUCUCCAAGCAAAGAAUGGGUUUUCCCUGAGAAGGUCGCAUCCCAUGCAGACAACCCAUUUCGCCUCACCAGGAAAGCUGAACUCAGACCCCUGUGAGUUGUGUUCAUAGCGCUUUACGUCCAUCUCCUUAAAACUGUGGUGGUGGCUUACGUCUGUCAUCCCCGCACUUUGGGAAGCUGAGGCGGGCAGAUGAUGAGAUCAAGAGUUUGAGACCAUCCUGGCCAACACGGUGAAACCCCAUCUCUACUAAAAAUACAAAAAUUAGCUGGGCGUGGUGGAGCGUGCCUGCAGUCCCAGCUACUUGGGAGGCUGAAGCAGGAGAAUCACUUGAACCCGGGAGGCAGAGCUUGCAGUGAGCCGAGAUCGUGCCAUUGCCCUCCAGCCUGGUGACAGAGCGAGACUCCGUCUCAGAAAAACAAAAACAAAAACAAACUGUGGCAUCUUCAAGAAGAUGGCAUUUUAUCCAAUUCCCCUUUAAUGAGAAUGUGAGCUUAAGUUAGGCUAACUUUUGUCUCUCUGUUGUCCCUAAUCGGACUAAGAAAAGCCACGUGAUCUUGAGCAGAACAAGGAACAUUUCAGCCCCCCGGCCUGUAACAGGGAAGAGAGGCUGAGGAGUGAGGUGAGCCAGCCUCCAUCCCGUGGGAGAGAACCACAUGACGGGCCAGCCCCAUCCCGUGGGAGAGAACCACAUGACGGGCCAGCCCCAUCCCGUGGGAGAGAACCACAUGACGGGCCAGCCCAAUCCUGUGGGAGAGAACCACAUGACGGUGGAGCCACACGUCCACCAGAGCCUAAGCGUUGGGGCCCCGAGUGACCACACGGAACCACGCUGCCCCAGGCACAGGAGCACUCAACUCUGCAGCCUCACCAGAGGGAGACGGCGCUGCCUGCCCGAGCCGCUUCACACUCAGACCUUUUCACUACAGCAGAUUCAUCUACUCACAACAAAGGGGUUGUGAGUUCUCCAAGAACAUGUUUUUAAAUAUCUUUCAGUAAAUCUAUUACAAGUUCUCAUUAGAUUGAAUUUAUUCUUAAGUUGUUUUAUCUCAGUUGCUAUUAUAAAUAAAUUAAUUUAUUCCAUGCCAAUUGGUACUUUGGUUAGACAGGAAACAUCAAUUUUGAGAAUAUAUUUAAUAAUCGG
rnacentral:lncRNA from 1 species